UUUUACGAUGCGAUCAAAAUGUGUAACGUUUGCUAGACUAACCCUGUACAUAACUUCCAAGACACACGAGUGCAAUUCUGAAGCUGAUUUUCAGGCAUGGAGAGAAGAAAUGCAGGAUGCAGCCAAGAGUCAUUUUACUAAAGGCACGAAGUAAAAAGAUUGAAAGAUGGAGGUUUAAAGUGUUGUUAUAUUUGUAACUGAUCGGGUGCUUUUACACAGAAGAACGUCAAAGGAAAAAGGUCCAUAAAAUCAUAAGGUUCCGUCAGGUAUGGGGCAACCUGCAUUGAUGAUUCGUCUGCAUUGUUCCAGACUGGCAAGGUCUCGUUUGUCUUCCAAGCUUCCUAUUAUGCACAUGAUUUUGGGGCUGUCCUACACCCCACUUACAAAAACAGAGGACGAUGUAAUAGAGGCAGCCCGUGCAGGGGGGGUAUAUGUUUAUUCACACAAAAGGAGAUGUCAGCCAAGCAAGUGCCAGCUUGCUACUCCUUAAAAAAAGAAAAAAAAAACAGGUACGGGAGAAGCCGCGAUGGCAACAAUGUGCUGCGGGCGUACAGGCACUUAUAAAACACUAUGUUGUACUGGAAUGUCCUUUUUUACCUUCCAGAAACUAUUAGUUUAUGUUAGGGAAACUACGUGACGGCAUUGCACUCAGCGUACUAUGCAGCUCAGUAUUUGGGGUGUGCUGGAUGGCACGUUUCAAAGGAUCCAAUUCACCUCUAUACAAGGCAGUACCUGUACAUCACCAUGAGGGACUAAAAUAUAUGUUACAGUGAGAGGAAACACGACGACAACCAAACCAGUGUUGCCUUGUUGGUCAGUUCUAUCAGAGCCCAAACAAACAGUCCAGUGCUUUCCCUCACACACAAAGGCAAGAAGGAUGAUCCUACUGUCUUUCAACGAGGAAAUACUGACUUGUUGCAAGAUGAGGAUUUCUUGCUAGUUCUCAUGACAGGCAUGCAAAAACAGCUGUUAAGGCAUUUGGGCACCAACAAAAGUGUGAUGAACACAGGAGGAGCAGGGAAGCUAGCUGGUGUUGACUUGAUGUUAAUGCCGAAGUGUAUACUUUCUUUUUACCCGUCUCUCCUUCACUUCGUGUAUUAAAGCUUCUUUGCUGGUUCGUGUGUUUGUGUUCGUCCUGUGCUUUCCCUCAAACUCAAGGCAAUGUUAACAUCAAAAGAAAAGUGUGCAUAGAUUCUACACAUAGCACCACAGAUGGGUCAUUCUAUGUGAUAGUUGUGUACUGCCACUUCAUACAUUUUGGGUAAUGGUUCAGGUGAAACACUUUAUAGCCAUGCAUGCUCUCCUGCAUUGACUUUUCAACUGAAGACAAUAUGCCCCAUUUUUAGCUUGGUGUGGGGUAUAUUACAGCAGGUUAAAUACAUUUAAGUGUGGUGAUAUACAUACACAUAACACACAUAAUUGGCAAUUUGUAUAUCCUAUAAAGUGCUCUGACAUGAGAAAUCUUGUAGAAAAAAUUGUGUUAAUAUUCUGCCAAUAAGAAGUGGAAUAAACUUUCCACUCACUGCA